rnacentral:tRNA from 2 species
UGGCGGCGUAGCUCAGCUGGCUAGAGCGUACGGUUCAUACCCGUAAGGUCGGGGGUUCGAUCCCCUCCGCCGCUAU